rnacentral:rRNA from 1 species
CCUACGGGUGGCAGCAGUGAGGAAUAUUGGUCAAUGGACGGAAGUCUGAACCAGCCAUGCCGCGUGCAGGAAGACGGCCCUAUGAGUUGUAAACUGCUUUUGUACAAGGGUAAACCUGAAUACGUGUAUUCAGCUGAAAGUACUGUACGAAUAAGGAUCGGCUAACUCCGUGCCAGCAGCCGCGGCACUACGGAGGAUCCAAGCGUUAUCCGGAUUUAUUGGGUUUAAAGGGUGCGUAGGCGGAUUGAUAAGUUAGAGGUGAAAUGUCCGAGCUUAACUCGGGAACUGCCUCUAAUACUGGUGAGCUAGAGAGUAGAUGCGGUAGGCAGAAUGUAUGGUGUAGCGGUGAAAUGCUUAGAGAUCAUACAGAACACCGAUUGCGAAGGCAGCUUACCAAUCGAAGUCUGACGUUGAGGCACGAAAGCGGGGGGAGCAAACAGGAUUAGAUACCCGAGUAGUC